GUGAACGCUGGCGGUAGGCCUAACACAUGCAAGUCGAACGGCAGCACAGUAAGAGCUUGCUCUUACGGGUGGCGAGUGGCGGACGGGUGAGGAAUACAUCGGAAUCUACUUUUUCGUGGGGGAUAACGUAGGGAAACUUACGCUAAUACCGCAUACGACCUACGGGUGAAAGCAGGGGAUCUUCGGACCUUGCGCGAUUGAAUGAGCCGAUGUCGGAUUAGCUAGUUGGCGGGGUAAAGGCCCACCAAGGCGACGAUCCGUAGCUGGUCUGAGAGGAUGAUCAGCCACACUGGAACUGAGACACGGUCCAGACUCCUACGGGAGGCAGCAGUGGGGAAUAUUGGACAAUGGGCGCGAGCCUGAUCCAGCCAUACCGCGUGGGUGAAGAAGGCCUUCGGGUUGUAAAGCCCUUUUGUUGGGAAAGAAAAGCAGCAGGUUAAUACCCCGCUGUUCUGACGGUACCCAAAGAAUAAGCACCGGCUAACUUCGUG
rnacentral:rRNA from 1 species